AGCAGUAGGAUGUGGGUGGGGCCAGAUAAGGGAACGAAAGCAGGCCUCCCAAGCCAGGAGCGGCAAACUGCUGGGAUCCAUUUCCAUGCUGUGGACUCUUUGUGCUUUGCUCUUUGCAAUAAAUCUUCCUGCUGCUCACUUUUUGGGUCUGCACUACCUUUAUGAGCUGUAACACUCACCGCGAAGGUCUACAGCUUUACACCUGAAGCCAGGGAGACCACGAACUCAUCAGGAGGAACGAACAACUCCAGACGCGUGGCCUUUAAGAGCUGUAACACUCAACGCGAAGGUCUGCAGCUUCAGUCUUGAAGUCAGCGAAACCGCAAACCCACCAGAAGGAAGAAACUCCGGACACAUCUGAACACCUGAAGGAACAAACCCCGGACACACCAUCUCUAAGAACUGUAACACUCACCGUGAGGGUCCGCGGCUUCAUUCUUGAAUCAGUGAGACCAAGAACCCACCAAUUCCGGACACAGAAGUGUUUGUGGAAUUUAAUUACAAAAACUGAAAGGAGAGAAAACAAGAUGGCAUUGUUGCUAACCUGUGAGAAGUGAUGGGGGCCCUCCAGCUGAAUGCUAGCCCCUGGUGGGCUCAUGGUAACAACAGAGAGGGGAGCCUUCUCUGGGAAGAGCUACCUCCUACUCCAGCCCAGCCGACCAGGCUGGGAUCCACAGAUCCACACUCCAGCAUGCUGAGCGGAGAAAGACUUAUUGUUGAGAAUGUCAGUCAACUGACAUUUUGCCUCCUACUCUCUCUAUCUGAGAGGGGAAUCUGCAUUUUCUAAGCCAGUUGGCAGCAUGCACCACAAACAGCAAUGCACUGCAGGCCCCUGGUAUAGACUGUCACCCUGUGAUAAGUGUGCCAGCUCAGUGGUGCAAAGGUUUUCAGAUACCCUCCCUUGGGCUAUCAUUCCAGUAGGCAGCUCCUCCUCCUCCUCCCCUCUCCCUCACAUACACUGAGCAUCAGGCUCUCCAAGCUCAGUUCUCAACAUAGUUACAAUAACCCAUCCUAGUCAGUGAUGCUUAAAAUUGAACCAUGGUUCAGGGGAGCAGUAGGCUCUCCCUGCAAGCACCCUAAUGUGUUAAACAGCCAUGCCAGGUAGCUGUCUCCUUUCUUGGAAUCAGCUACUUACAGAGACCCUCUGUCAAUGGAAGUUAGUUUUUAUGCAAGUCCUCUAACCCAGCAUUUGAAGGAUAAACAAACUUGCACUUACACAAUUUUCUUUAAGAGCAGUUCCCUCUAAAUGUUGGUUCUCACUGCCUGCUUCAACUGCGGGCCUAGAAAUGGAAAAGGAGUCCAGGUUUGGAGCCCCUCUGGUGACUGAGCGUGUACCUCCAACAUGACUACGUUUGUACAGCUGAGACUCAACAUGUAAGGCUCUUUAGGUGGUUGGAAUUAUUUCAUUUGGCACCAUGAUUGCCUCAAAUAAUACAUACUUUGAGAGAGAGAAAUGCUGCAGAAGUAAACUCGAACCAAUAGGGACAUUUAUUCUUCAGGUUUAAAAUUAAUUUCCUGUAUUUCUCUGGCUUAAGAAAAAAAUUGUAUUGGAACUGCAACCUUAUGAGAAGAAAAAUUCGAAACUAUUUCUUUUACACUGAGCCCAGUAUCAGAUGAAAUGGAAAUGUGAGGGCUUCCUUAGCGUUAACCCGCUGGAACUUUCCAGCUGAGAACUGAGAUCUGCAGACUGCUUUAGGUUAAGACCCUGCUCCACUCCAUGUUAGGUAAUCAGAUGUCAUUUAGGCAGAAUAAAUGGGAAGUACUCAAGGAAUCAGAAGAGGUGAAAGAGCAGAAUCUGGUUUGGAUAAAAGUUUAAUUCUUCAGUUCCAAGAGGCAUAGCCCUUCGAAGAUGCUGAGCAAAGUCAGACAGGAGUGGCCAAGUAAUGAAGAUGGAUGCGUCUUGUUAUCAGCAAGCCGUUUACUAGGGCUUGAUGUAACCUUAAACAUUGCAGAUAGCUCAAUGGCACUUGCCACUAAACCCCUAAUUAAUGAAUAGCAGGCCCUAAAUUAACAAUGUGCAUUUACAGAUGAAUUCUAGGCACUCAUUAAAUGAUGUUCAAAUA